rnacentral:tRNA from 5 species
UGGGGUGUCGCCAAGUGGUAAGGCACAUGGUUUUGGUCCAUGCAUUCGGGGGUUCGAAUCCCUCCACCCCAGCCA